CAAGGAAGGUUCCUUGAUGCUGGUGAGGGGCUCUUGAUCCAAGGCCCCUCAAGGAAGGUUCCUUGAUGCUGGUGAGGGGCUCUUGAUCCAAGGCCCCUCAAGGAAGGUUCCUUGAUGCUGGUGAGGGGCUCUUGAUCUUGGGAAUUGAAUCUGUGCUCCAGUUCCCUGAAUGAAUACCGUCCAUCCCCCUCCACAGGUGCUGUAUAAUCCUACGGGUUUAGCGCUUCACCAUUAUUAUAAUAAUAGUGUCUCCAUUAAUAUUGCUUAAGGAAUACUCAUUGAAUUCAGGGAUCUUUAAGGUGGAGGCAAGGAUACUAAUACCAUCUGAAUACUUGCAGGAAUAAGUCCUUCACUGCACGUGGUAUCUUGAAGAGAGGGACCAGAGGUAUCUAGGUUUGCUUAGGCAGAAUCAGGGGAUUUCUAGUAGCAUAUUCUCUACCUCCAAGUAAGUCAGUCCUUUGUGCAUGUAGUUAGGAAUUUCUUGCAAGGUUAAUUUACAUAUGGAAAUGUGUCCUAAAAGCCAUUUGUGAGAUUGAGAUGACUAAUUUCAGGGUGUCUGUGUCUACAGUCUUCAAGAAGGUACUGGACAGGCAUCUAAAGUCAGUACCUGACCAGCUGGGCUGUGGUUUGUACGUCGGGUUGCAUGCGGCCAGCAGUAACAGCCUGAUUGAUCAGACCCUGAGCCACCACGAGGCCUUGUCACAGACCGGGCCAGCGGGAGCGUUGACCCCUGAAACCCUCUCCAGUGUCAAGAGGAACACUGUUGAUUACCACCAGCAACUGCAGUGACAACAAACAUCAACUUACUAGUCACUGUACAUCACUACUGAUGAAGUCACUGACAGGAGAAAGAAAACCUGCUAACUUGAUGACUGAACAUAUCUUGAAGAACAACAACAACAACACAAGACAAACUAAUAGUGGAUAUUGUUUGUUGGUGUAUCAGCAUGUGAGGACCAAGACUGUUUCAACCAAAAAUACUGCUGGAACAAGUGUAGAAGUCUUUAAGAGGAAAUUGGACAAGUAUCUUCACCAGGUGCUGGAUCAACCAGGCUGUGAUGGAGUGGGUCAGUGGACCACCAGCAGUAACAUCCUGGCAGAGCAGGCAAGCAUCAGAUGAGCCUGACCCCUGGCUGGGCUCUGGCAGUAGAAAAACACUCAGAACUCAUCAGAGGUUAAUGUUAGUUUGUCAAUAGUGUGUGAGGAGUUAAUAAUAAUAAUAAUAAUAAUAAUAAUAAUAAUAAUAAUAAUAAUAAUAUAUUUUAUUUUGAAGGAAGGAGCAAAUCUUGUUCAACAAGACAGUCAUGUAAGAAGCCAAGUUGAUACAUGUAUGUACAAACACCUUUAUAUGCAGAGCAUUUCUGGCAAACUUAAAAUUAACUUAAGAUUAAUAAGGCAAUAACAGUACAUAUGGUCAUUAGAUGAGUUACAAUGAAUACAAGAAACUUGAGUAUUGUAUUAAGUCAUGCUAUAUGACUUCAAUAAGUCUUGUAGAGAAGAAAUACUUUUUUAUUAUUAACCUUAGGCAGUAGUAAAGUUGGUAGAAUUACCGACAAUAUGUAAAGUAAAAGGACACAAGUGCAACUAAUGUGACAUUUUAUUGUGGCAACGUUUCACUCUCCAGGAGCUUUAUCAAGCCAUUACAAACAAUACACGGACACAGAGGGUAUAUAAAGGCUCAGAGUGAGGUGCAAUACUAGUGAGGUACCAUUUCGAAGAUCACUAGUGGUAGUAGUAGUAGUAGUAGUAGUAGUAGUGACAAAAGUAAUGCAAUAUGUUAGAGCAAUUAAUUCGUACAUGAGUAAAAGGAUAUAAAAGCUAUUACUUGGGUAACAUAAAAAUAGGUUGGACAAAUAUUGACUGGAAAGAGGCAGCUUGUUUCAGUGUUCACUCUCUGUAAUGUGCUUUGUGUAGUAUAACAGGAGAGACUAUGUGAUGGCAGGGUUUACUGUUUUCAGGAGGAUUCUUGCUAAGACUUCGGAAAUGGUGAAGCUGCCGUU